rnacentral:rRNA from 1 species
CGUCCUAUUAGCUAGUUGGUGAGGUAAUGGCUCACCAAGGCUACGAUGGGUAGGGGUUCUUAGUGGAAGGUCCCCCACACUGGCACUGAGAUACGGGCCAGACUCCUACGGGAGGCAGCAGUAGGGAAUAUUGGUCAAUGGGCGCAAGCCUGAACCAGCCAUGCCGCGUGCAGGAUGAAGGCUCUCUGAGUUGUAAACUGCCUUUGUACAGGAGCAAAAAGAUCCCUGCGGGGGUUCUUGAGAGUACUGUAAGAAUAAGCACCGGCUAAUUCCGUGCCAGCAGCCGCGGUAAUACGGGAGGUGCAAGCGUUAUCCGGUUUUAUUGGUUUAAAGGGUGCGUAGGCGGCUUAUUAAGUCAGUUGUGAAAUCCUAGUGCUUAACGCUAGAACUGCGAUUGAUACUAUU